UACAGAGGUCCCAAGCGUUGUUCGGAUUCAUUGGGCGUAAAGGGUGCGUAGGCGGCGCGGUAAGUCGGGUGUGAAAUCUCGGAGCUUAACUCCGAAACUGCAUUCGAUACUGCCGUGCUUGAGGACUGGAGAGGAGACUGGAAUUUACGGUGUAGCGGUGAGAUGCGUAGAUAUCGUAAGGAAGACCAGUGGCGAAGGCGGGUCUCUGGACAGUUCCUGACGCUGAGGCACGAAGGCUAGGGGAGCAAACGGG
rnacentral:rRNA from 1 species